CCUACGGGAGGCAGCAGUGAGGAAUAUUGGUCAAUGGACGGAAGGCUGAACCAGCCAUGCCGCGUGCAGGAAGACGGCUCUAUGAGUUGUAAACUGCUUUUGUACAAGGGUAAACCUGAAUACGUGUAUUCAGCUGAAAGUACUGUACGAAUAAGGAUCGGCUAACUCCGUGCCAGCAGCCGCGGUAAUACGGAGGAUCCAAGCGUUAUCCGGGUUUAUUGGGUUUAAAGGGUGCGUAGGCGGAGGUAUAAGUUAGAGGUGAAAUGUUCGAGCUUAACUCGGGAACUGCCUCUCAUACUGUUGACCUAGAGAGUAGGUGAGGUAGGCGGAAUGUAUGGUGUAGCGGUGAAAUGCUUAGAGAUCAUACAGAACGCCGAUUGCGAAGGCAGCUUACCAAUCUAUAUCUGACGUUGAGGCACGAAAGCGUGGGGAGCAAACAGGAUUAGAUACCCCUGUAGUC
rnacentral:rRNA from 1 species